rnacentral:rRNA from 1 species
CAUUAAGCACUCCGCCUGGGGAGUACGGUCGCAAGACUGAAACUCAAAGGAAUUGACGGGGGCCCGCACAAGCGGUGGAGCAUGUGGUUUAAUUCGAAGCAACGCGAAGAACCUUACCAGGUCUUGACAUCCUCUGACAACUCUAGAGAUAGAGCGUUCCCCUUCGGGGGACAGAGUGACAGGUGGUGCAUGGUUGUCGUCAGCUCGUGUCGUGAGAUGUUGGGUUAAGUCCCGCAACGAGCGCAACCCUUGAUCUUAGUUGCCAGCAUUUAGUUGGGCACUCUAAGGUGACUGCCGGUGACAAACCGGAGGAAGGUGGGGAUGACGUCAAAUCAUCAUGCCCCUUAUGACCUGGGCUACACACGUGCUACAAUGGAUGGUACAAAGGGCUGCAAGACCGCGAGGUCAAGCCAAUCCCAUAAAACCAUUCUCAGUUCGGAUUGUAGGCUGCAACUCGCCUACAUGAAGCUGGAAUCGCUAGUAAUCGCGGAUCAGCAU